ACAACAUUUGGAACGUCGGUCUACCGAGCAAUAUCAUCCGUGCGGUGAAAGAUCUUCCCUUUGUCGU
rnacentral:pre_miRNA from 1 species